rnacentral:rRNA from 1 species
UACGUAGGCAGCGAGCGUUGUUCGGAGUUACUGGGCGUAAAGAGUGUGUCGGCGGUUUUCUAAGUUUGGUGUGAAAUCUCCCGGCUUAACUGGGAGGGUGCGCCGAAGACUGGAAGGCUUGAGUAUGGGAGAGGUAAGCGGAAUUCCUGGUGUAGCGGUGAAAUGCGUAGAUAUCAGGAGGAACACCUGCGGUGUAGACGGCUUACUGGACCAUAACUGACGCUGAGGCACGAAAGCGUGGGUAGCAAACAGG